rnacentral:lncRNA from 1 species
UUCCUGAAUUUGCAUAACUUUUGUCAUAUAAUUGCAGCAUAAUGUUUAAACGAUUAAAAAAAAUAAUUCAUUAUUAAUAAAUAAAAAUAGAAAUACUGAAGACACUAUCAGCUCUCUCUCUUUCUCUCUUUCUGCUCUCCUUAUAAAUUAAGAAGGAUAUGAACUUCAAAUUAUGUUGCAGCUUGAUUACCAUAUAUAUAGUACUAUCAAAUUGCUCAAUUAUUUCGGCUAGGUUGUUUUUUUUCAAUUCCUUUGGUUCUUGUCUUUCAUAAAUUUGUACUCAUUUCAACUGAUUUCAUGCUUGUUUUCCGUACAUAUUUUAAUCAUUUUGGCGUGUUUCUUUCUUCUGUUUUAUAAAAGAUGUAAGCAACACAAUGAUACCGGAAAUACCGAUACAGCUGCCUGCGGAAUAAAAUGUUUUGUCAUAGCUACCAGACGUGUCG